AUCGCUUCUCGGCCUUUUGGCUAAGAUCAAGUGUGGCAUCUGUUCUUACCAGUUUAAUAUCUGAUGUCUCUAUAUGGGGAUUAAAUAUUAAACGUACUUCUUUUGAGCAGUGGGAGGUGAAAACUGGGGCUUGCUUCUACUCCUUGCAUUAAUCUGGUAUUGCAGUGCCACCAGGAAUGUAAACCAUU